AACGCGAAGAACCUUACCUGGGCUUGACAUGUUCGGUCUAUUCCUAGAGAUAGGAAGUGCUUCGGCGCCGUUCACAGGUGGUGCAUGGUUGUCGUCAGCUCGUGUCGUGAGAUGUUGGGUUAAGUCCCGCAACGAGCGCAACCCUCGUUCCAUGUUGCCAGCGCGUUAUGGCGGGGACGUCAUGGGAGACUGCCGGGGUCGAACUCGGAGGAAGGUGGGGACGACGUCAAAUCAUCAUGCCCCUUAUGUCCAGGGCUGCACACAUGCUACAAUGGCCGGUACAGAGGGCUGCGAUACCGCGAGGUGGAGCGAAUCCCAAAAAGCCGGUCUCAGUUCGGAUCGGGGUCUGCAACUCGACCCCGUGAAGUCGGAGUCGCUAGUAAUCGCAGAUCAGCAACGCUGCGGUGAAUACGUUCCCGGGCCUUGUACACACCGUAGUAC
rnacentral:rRNA from 1 species